rnacentral:tRNA from 1 species
GCGGGGAUAGCCAAGCCAGGCCAAAGGCGCAGGACUUAAGAUCCUGUUACGAAGGUAUUCGUGGGUUCGAAUCCCACUCCCCGCA